CUACGGGAUGCUGCAGUAGGGAAUAUUGCGCAAUGGGGGAAACCCUGACGCAGCAACGCCGCGUGGAGGAUGACACUUUUCGGAGCGUAAACUCCUUUUGUUAGGGAAGAAUAAUGACGGUACCUAACGAAUAAGCACCGGCUAACUCCGUGCCAGCAGCCGCGGUAAUACGGAGGGUGCAAGCGUUACUCGGAAUCACUGGGCGUAAAGGACGCGUAGGCGGAUUAUCAAGUCUCUUGUGAAAUCUAAUGGCUUAACCAUUAAACUGCUUGGGAAACUGAUAAUCUAGAGUAAGGAGAGGUAGAUGGAAUUCUUGGUGUAGGGGUAAAAUCCGUAGAGAUCAAGAAGAAUACCCAUUGCGAAGGCGAUCUACUGGAACUUAACUGACGCUAAUGCGUGAAAGCGUGGGGAGCAAACAGGAUUAGAUACCCGCGUAGUC
rnacentral:rRNA from 1 species